UCUCAAAGAAAAAAAGGGGGGUAUGGCGAAAUUGGAAUUUAUAGUAAUAGGAAAAUCCGUCGAUUUUAGAAAUCGUGAGGGUUCA
rnacentral:tRNA from 1 species